AACACUGGCUGAAUCUGUGCAGGUCAUUAGUCUGUAUGUGAUCACUGAGACGCAGCCAUGUUAGAUGUUAGCAAAAAAAUCAACUGGAGCAGCAGCACCUUCAAUACUCACGCGUCUCAGUGUCACAUACAGACUAAUGACCUGCACAGCUUCAGCCAGUGUUAAUAAGUCCACCUUUAGUUCAUUUUGCCUCGUUUCUGGGAGGGAGGGGGAGUUUCAGGAGAGCAAGUCUUCAUGUAACAGGACUUGUAAAACUACGAUGCUGACUGACUGCAGGGGGAGGGGCUGAGCAGGAGCUUGUUACGGAGGCUUUCUUUUCACAUAACUUUCUGGAAGGGAGGGGGAGCUGCCGAAAGAGAGCAGCUGAGUGUAAAAAAAAGAGUUUUAAAAGCACUAUAAGUACUGGGGCUGGCUCUAAAGAGGAAAAGGAUCAAUCCAGCAGGGCACAAAUAACGGAGCCAUUAAUUAUGCUGCCUCCACACAGUUCAAGAUUGACAGCACUGAUAGCCAAUGAGAGUGAGUUGUUAUGCAAAGAAACUCGACUCCGACGCCAGAGCUAGCCAGAGGCAGGUGCUAAUGGAGAAGGGAAAGACGAACACCAAGAGUUAUCUCGAUUAUCUCUCCAGAUGUUUAUUGCUGUCUUUAGAGUUGCAGGUGAUGUAUUUAUUGCAUAUUCUACUUCUUGAUGAGUGAUGGGGGCUUUUAGAAGGUCUUUUUGAUCAUUAUUUAAACAAGGCUGCUUUUUGAAUGAAGAGUCCACGAACAGAAGCUUUGUGAGCACACCAUUGUGUCUGUAAUGAAGUCUCCUUGGAGUUAUUAAUCUCAAAAUAAUCUCUCAAACUAUUGUUAUAAAAAUCCCUGUCACUUAUUUUAUUUAAUAAAGAUUCAUUUAACCUC